rnacentral:rRNA from 1 species
UACGUAGGGUGCGAGCGUGUCCGGAAUUAUUGGGCGUAAAGGGCUCGUAGGCGGUUUGUCGCGUCGGGAGUGAAAUCCACUGGCUUAACUGGUGGCUUGCUUCGAUACGGGCAGACUGGAGGUAUGCAGGGGAGAACGGAAUUCCUGGUGUAGCGGUGAAAUGCGCAGAUAUCAGGAGGAACACCGGUGGCGAAGGCGGCUCUCUGGGACGGUACUGACGCUGAGACGCGAAAGCGUGGGGAGCGAACAGG